UUGUUGGAAAUAAGUUUUAUCGAGGAAAGAGAGCUUUACUUUUUCUUCUUUUUUUUUUUUUAGAGAUAGGUAGGAUGCUACCCACUUUAUUUAUUUCAUUUAGAAAUAAAUUUAGCUGGAAAUGUGAAUUAACUAGGAUUCGAACUUGGGAUCUCGGGUACCAACCAUCAAGCCUUUCGCUACUUGCUCUAGGUUAGCUUCUCGCUAAUGAGAUGUGAGAGAUUAUUAAGUAGUCCAACACGUAGACCCGGGAUACAGAUCUGAUGGUGAAAUCGAAGAAGAAUGUAGACACAUCGUUAAUCGGAUACAGGCAGAAAAAGCCG
rnacentral:lncRNA from 1 species